UUUACAAAUAAGCAAAUUCAAGCUUACAUUAUGGCAAAUCCAAGGUCAAAUAGUUAAUAAGUAUGUAAACUCACAUCUGAUUUUAAAGCCCAGCUACAGAACACAAUGCCAUUUGAUUUCUCUCACUUGGAAAUAUGCAAAAAAAAAUUUGCAAGGAGGAGAGCCUCAAAACAUUUAUUUCCCAUGAGGGGACAGUAAGCCCUAUUUACUGAAAUGAGGGAGACAUAAGAACUGAACACCCCACCUACAUUCAAGACCAACCCUGGUAUCCCAACUGCCCAAGCCUGCCUAUCCCUCCCAAGCUGCUGCUGAGAGCCCUCAGAAUGCAAACAAUCCCCCAGGUUGUCUGCUGGGACAAGGGGGUGCCAAGUGCUUAGGUGCUUAGGGCCCUGAUAUAUACUGUUCAUCCAUCUAAACGUUGUUCAUCCCUCCCUUUGUGGCAGCUUAGCCUCUCUGUCAACAGCAUAGUUUGACAGCCCAUCCUGUAUUUCUUCAGUUAUAUUUCAUUUUCAUCUUUGGUCACUAACCCAUUAUGAGAGAAAUUUUGAUCAAACUUGGAUCACAGAGGACAGUGGUGUAUCUAUCUGCUGAAUCAGAAAUAGCCAAGUAUUUAAGUCUGUAGCAUACACUGCCCACAGGCCUUCUGCAUUGAGUUCUGUCAAUG
rnacentral:lncRNA from 1 species